GACGUUGUAUGCUCGCUGGCAAAACAUCAAGAGACGACUAUUCUUCACCAGGUUAUUCUUUACUUCCAUUUUUCAAAGAUAAGUCCUAAUUACAUGUCGAAGUGUAGUUUGUCAUAGACUUCAUUGACAGUGGAACAUGUUUGAUAAAUUGAUAGAAUUCUGUUUUGCCUUGCUUUUUUCCUCUUCUACAGAAUAAUUCCUUUCUUAAUUGAUGAAAACAUGAAUCAAGUUCUUUUAGCAAGAAUGAAGUUGUAAAGAAUUUGAUUCUUCAAUAUCAUCCACUUACAGAUAUAGUAAUCUUCAUAUAGUAUUCUACACUUUAAAAUGAUCCUGUUGAGUAUAGGUGAAGCUAGAAUUUUGAGGUUAUGAGUUCUGGAUUCUUAAAAAUAUAACCUAUUGAGUUUUGGGCCAAAGCUACUUCAUUUUGUUCUAUCUGUGGACAAGCCAGUAGCUCUGCCUCUGCCUCAGAGUAUUCUUCAAGCUAAGUAUAGUUUUUUUCCCGUGUAAAGGAUUAGUAGUCAUUUUGGAAUGAAAUAUGCUUAUAUGAAACGGCAUGAUCAUUCAAAACUCUUAUAUCCGACCUCCCAACUUGCUCGGGUGGAGGCAUAGUCAUUGUUGUAGAGGGUUUGAUAGCCCUUUUCUAUGUUACUUGACUUUUCAAAAUUGUUAUUGUUUCACCUCUGCUGGACACGCAACUGGUGACAUUUUUGAAGAGCUUGAGCAAUAUAGCUUUCCCUGGGCCUAAAGUUUAAAUUCCUUUUACCUGUAUCAAUGGUCUAAUAACAAAUAAAGGUGUUUGGCAACAAUUUCAGAAUCCAAAUUGUGCUCUUAAUGUGGAUGGACAAUAGUUAUGUAUUUUACUUCGAAUAAUCUGGAAUAAUAAAGUGUGCAUCAGGUCAUUUUAAAGUUUGUUUUGACUCCUUAGAUCAAAUUUUAUUAAUCUACAUAAUAGUUUGUCCUAGAUUUCCUGAAAAACUUAAACAUCCAUUUUGUAUGUUAAACGAAGUGUUUUAGUGACUUUGAUCAUACUUCUUAUACAAUUUGUCUGUUCGAUAUGUAAAACACUCAUCUGCGAAAACCGUGAUAAAUUAUUUGAUUAGUUCCAAUAGAAGAAUUACAGCCCAAAUAUUGUUUAUGUUAAAGAAUCAUUACCUUUUAUAUUGAUGUCUUAUACUGCAUAAUAUUAUCUUAGUAGUUAUAGUAUUGCUUUGGUAGUUUCUUGUCCUUCGAUUUCUAUUACUCUCUAUUGUUUCAUGUACCUCGAUUAUUGUAUUGUAAUUUCUGUUCUAUUACUAUCUAUUGUUUUUUGUUAUCAUCUUAUGUUUCUUGUACUUAUGUUAUUUCUUUUUUGAGCUUGUUUUUCCUUUAGUCGAGGGUCAAUUGAAAACAACUUUGCCGCUUGUAAGAUAGUGGCCGGGUAAGGUUUAUAUACAUGCUAUCAUUCUCAGUCCCCACUUUGUAGGUAUGUUAUUGUUGUUUUAUUGAUGCAGUUGCCCUUUUAAUUGUGGUUUCUAAUUUGUUGAGUUUUACAGAUUGGUCCCCAUGUAAGGCAUAUUUCUGUUGUCAGCAAUUUGCAGAAGCAAAUAACUUGUGAUGCGAUAUAGUUCAGACAGAGUAGUACGGAGCAAUUAUUGAAGAAAUAUUUGAUCAACUGGCGUUAGAGGUGAAUUUUCUUUUCCUUUUCUUUACUACUUUCUCCAUCAAUACAUGUUCUGCUAUAUAUUGAUAUUGCAUCCCAAGGACCCUGUAAUGAUGU
rnacentral:lncRNA from 1 species